rnacentral:ncRNA from 2 species
CUGCGUUAAGGAUUGUAGUGAAAAUCCUUUUGCUCGCUGAGCUUGUCGAAGCGCAAAAGAUUGAAACGGAAAGCCUGGCCGAAG